GGUCACUCAAAAUGGAUGUUUGCUUUGAACUUCAUUCUUCUAACUAAAGGAAACUUCUUACUGCAGAGACAACGCAGCCAGAGACAACUCUAUUAGCACAAAGCACAUUCCAGCAAAUGCCAAGGGCUUUCCAGUGAAUACAGGGUGGAGAGGACACAGCCUUCCCACCAGAGAGGUGGCCAACACUUCCCUUCCAAAGAGCUUCCACUGCCAGCUCUGUAUCAGCCCUGGGCUGUGGGUUCAGGACUUCUAAAAAAAGAUGAAGACUUGAAGACAAUCAAGCAAACAGGACUGGCAGUGCCCAGCAAAAGGCUCAGGAGCUGUGAUGCAGCACAGGAAAA
rnacentral:lncRNA from 1 species